AUGUCGACUGAGCCAACAGAUACCCGAGCACCCACCCCCGUCCCCGUUCACGGGCUGCCUGCCUAUUUAUACACCGCUAGCUCCCGCGUCUUCACCAGGGAAAGUGUGCGCCCGCUCGCUUCAUCGAUCCAUCGUCUUCUUCCUCUGCUCGCUCGCCAGCAACACUCCCUUACACUCCAUCGUAAGUGCACGUACUCACGGUAG
rnacentral:rRNA from 1 species